AAAAUUUUGACGUGUAACGACUUAGUAAGUUCUACUUAUUUGCAAUAUUUUUUUUUUCUUUCUUAUCUUCCAUAUUUAUUCAAUUUUUGGCAACAAAACGAAACUCGUAAAAUUAAUUAACUUAUCAUCGGGGAACCAUUUUGUAAACUUAAUUCAAUUUAACACGUAUUAUAAAUUUACUUUUUCAAUGGUUAACACGAGCCUUGGGAGAAAAGUUGAUACUAAAGCAAAAAGUUAUGAAAACCAUUUUGUGAUAUGAAACUUCCGUAAGCGAAGAGUGGGGAAGGAAACAGGCAGAUGGAGGUAGCGCUGCUAAAUGGACUGCUAACUUAUGGAUAGAGAUAGGAGUUGUAUGUCGUGACCAUCUCACACCAUCUCGUCAAUGCUAGCGGCAGAUGUUCUAUGUUUACCGUCAUUUUUCUGUUUUACUAAGAUCAAUUUGGUUAAAAAUGAAAGGGAAUUAAAGAUAUUUUAUAAUUAAGAAGACCAAAAAAAUGGGUGGAAGGCAUUUAACUAUUGUUCGGUAUCUUGAAGAUUUUGAAGCGAUUCGUCGUUUCGGGUGGAGCAAAUUUCCAUUUUUUUAAUGCAAGAAUAAGGACUUUUUCAGCAUUUAUGAAUUUCUUACGAAUAAAGAUAUUUACAGUAUUUGUAUAUUUUUUCCUUAUAUUUACAUACA